ACUGCAUGCUUUUUUCUGAGUCUAGUUACUAGGCAGUGUAGUUAGCUGAUUGCUAAUAGUACCAAUCACUAACCACACAGCCAGGUAAAAAGACUGAAAUUCCUCCGACUGAGCC
rnacentral:pre_miRNA from 7 species